rnacentral:rRNA from 1 species
UACAGAGGGUGCAAGCGUUAAUCGGAAUUACUGGGCGUAAAGCGCGCGUAGGUGGUUUGUUAAGUUGGAUGUGAAGUCCCCGGGCUCAACCUGGGAACUGCAUUCAAAACUGACAAGCUAGAGUAUGGUAGAGGGUGGUGGAAUUUCCUGUGUAGCGGUGAAAUGCGUAGAUAUAGGAAGGAACACCAGUGGCGAAGGCGACCACCUGGACUGAUACUGACACUGGAGGUGCGAAAGCGUGGGGAGCGAUCCGG